rnacentral:lncRNA from 1 species
AGCUCUCAGUUUUGAUUAUUCACUAGAGGGUCUCAUGGAACCCACUGAAAGCUAUUAUACUCAUGGUUAUGGUUUACUACAGGGAAGAAUACAGAUUAAAAUCGGCCAAGGGAAGAGACACAUGGAGCAGAGUCCAGGAUGGUCUGCAAGCUGCAUUUCCAGUUGCCUUUUCCCCGUGGAGGCAUGAACAGCAUUACUGACUCCUGGCAUUGAUGUGUGACAGUACACAGUGUAUCACCAACCAGGGAAGCUCACCCCAGCCUAGGUGCUCAGAGUUUUUAUUGGACGUUCAAUCAUACAUUGCUUGUGUUGCUGGUUUUUAGUCUCCAGCCCUUCUGGAAGUCAGGCUGAUAACAUUAGUCUCUGGAUCUUCCAGAGAAUGGCAGAUCCCAUGUAGCUCAACAUAAACUGCAUUGUUAGACUGUCAGGUGGACUGAAGACCCCUAGCAAACAAAGACACUCUUACAUGACCUUCAAGGAGCCUGGAGAUCAUCUCUCGGUGGCUCAGGGCAAAGGGCAGGCUUCUCUUUUGGAUAAAUUUAAUUCUUCACUAUGCAGUCUAUAACAUUCAAUUAUUUUUCUCCAACACACUUUUGCUUAUAGCAUCACUCAUAAGUGCUCUCUGUUAAUGAUGUACAUGAAAGGUGAAGAGAGACAGAGGCAGAGCUAGGGGGUUUGCAUCUGUACACAUGAGGGGCCCACACAUAUUACAUGUGCAUCUUAAAUGUCUUUACUAUUGGAUAUCUACUAGAUGGUUUUAAACAAUAUUCUUCUCAUUGUCUUUUGUCCCUUUUUGAGGCAAGGAGGAAACCCUGAUCAUGGAAAAAAAUAUGUAUAUAUUCUGCACAAAAUCAUUGAAGGUUUGAAAAACAAGAGGCAAAGCUGCCUUGAAAUCAACGGUUCACUCUGAUGGAACCUCUCCAGUUCCUGGUGCUAAUCAUAGCACUGGAGCCCGCGCUUUCAGAAAAGCAGAACUCUCAUGCUUAAAAAAAAAAAAAAAAAAAUCCUUCUUACCGAAAAAAAAAAGAAAAGAAAAAAACCCAAACUGCAACUGCAAAAUGUAUCUCAUUUCUCUUUCCAUUAGUCUGCUUCUCUUAUUAUUAUCUUUAUCCUGACAAAGGCUUAUGGGUUCUCUGUGAGUGUCUUGUCACUGCAAACAGUGGGGCACAGGAGGGCAGUUUUCAAGGAAAGCCAAAGGAAAAUGGUAGACACUGGAGGUCAGAGCAGUUCACAGGGGCUGUUAGCAGCUGUGGACACCAUCUGACUGAUGCAAG